AAUGAAUGAAUGAAUGAUCAGAUGAAAAUUCCUUUUUGUAACAAACCUGAACCUUUUUGUAACAUGAAAUGUUACAAAAAGGACUCUAAAACUCCUUUUUGUAACAUGCAGUACUUUUGGUAACAUAGAGUUUUACUUUUUGUAACAUGGAGUGUUCCUUUUGGUAACAUCUUGUCCUUUUUGUAACAUUGAGCGUUCCUUUUGGUAACAUUUCGUCCUUUUAGUAACAUGGAGCGUUCCUUUUGGUAACAUUAUGUCCCUUUUGUAACAUUGGUUGUUCUUGUUUAUAACAUUGUGUCCUGUCUGUCUGUUUGUCUGUUCGCUCGUUUGUUUGUUUGUUUGUUUGUUUGUUUGUUUGUUUGUUUGUUUGUUUGUUUGUUUGUUUGUUUGUUUGUUU